AGUGAACGCUGGCGGUAGGCCUAACACAUGCAAGUCGAACGGCAGCACAGUAAGAGCUUGCUCUUACGGGUGGCGAGUGGCGGACGGGUGAGGAAUACAGCGGAAUCUACUUUUUCGUGGGGGAUAACGUAGGGAAACUUACGCUAAUACCGCAUACGACCUACGGGUGAAAGCAGGGGAUCUUCGGACCUUGCCCGAUUGAAUGAGCCGAUGUCGGAUUAGCUAGUUGGCGGGGUAAAGGCCCACCAAGGCGACGAUCCGUAGCUGGUCUGAGAGGAUGAUCAGCCACACUGGAACUGAGACACGGUCCAGACUCCUACGGGAGGCAGCAGUGGGGAAUAUUGGACAAUAGGCGCAAGCCUGAUCCAGCCAUACCGCGUGGGUGAAGAAGGCCUUCGGGUUGUAAAGCCCUUUUGUUGGGAAAGAAAAGCAGCAGGUUAAUACCCCGCUGUUCUGACGGUACCCAAAGAAUAAGCACCGGCUAACCUCGUG
rnacentral:rRNA from 1 species